rnacentral:rRNA from 1 species
AGAAUCAACGCUGGCGGCGUGCCUAACACAUGCAAGUCGAACGGGAAAGUCGAGCAAUCCAUGAGUAUAGUGGCGACCGGGUGAGUAACACGUGACUAACCUACCCUUGAGUGGGGGAUAACCUCGGGAAACCGGGGCUAAUACCGCAUAAAAUCUUCGGGAUGAGAAGCUGGAGAUCAAAGGAGCAAUUCGCUUUUGGAGGGGGUCGCGGCUGAUUAGCUAGUUGGCGGGGUAACGGCCCACCAAGGCUUUGAUCGGUA